CGCACGCAGGCGGUCUGUUAAGUCAGAUGUGAAAUCCCCGGGCUCAACCCGGGAACUGCAUUUGAAACUGGCAGGCUUGAGUCUCGUAGAGGGGGGUAGAAUUCCAGGUGUAGCGGUGAAAUGCGUAGAGAUCUGGAGGAAUACCGGUGGCGAAGGCGGCCCCCUGGACGAAGACUGACGCUCAGGUGCGAAAGCGUGGGGAGCAAACAGGAUUAGAUACCCUGGUAGUCCACGCCGUAAACGAUGUCGACUUGGAGGUUGUGCCCUUGAGGCGUGGCUUCCGGAGCUAACGCGUUAAGUCGACCGCCUGGGGAGUACGGCCGCAAGGUUAAAACUCAAAUGAAUUGACGGGGGCCCGCACAAGCGGUGGAGCAUGUGGUUUAAUUCGAUGCAACGCGAAGAACCUUACCUGGCCUUGACAUCCAGAGAA
rnacentral:rRNA from 1 species